AUAACUAGACCAAAAAAAGUAUAUACUUAGCACAAGAUUCAAUGUACCAGCAUCCCAGAGUUUCCUAGUAGUUAUUGAAGUGUGAAUUACUGUUCUGUGGGCUAUGUCCUGCUACAUUGGGAUGAAGUGUCUAGUAAUUGAGAUCUUUGUAUUUUUAAUUAGUUAAUAGUCAGGGUUUCCUUCUGGCUUUCUCAUGGACACAUGUCAUCAUGUUGUUCUAGUUCAUCCCAUCCCCCACUGCAUCCCUUAGCUUACCUGCUCUGCUCUUGACCCUCCCUCCCUCCCUCUCCUGCUUUUAUGUCACAGGUGUUUACCCUGUCAUGUUCCUCCUCUUCCCCACCUAAGAUCUCUCCCUCAUCCUCAUUGUCCCCUGUCUACUUUCAAGUGCCUCCCCGUACAUCACCUCAGGUACCCUACAUGAGGGACAAGAGAAUGGAUACUAGCUCCAUCUAUUUUCUUGCAGGUGUCUUGAUUCCAUUUCCCUUCAUGGCUAAUAAAGCACCAUCCAUUACGUAGACACACCUUGUUUUCUUCAUCUUUCACAGGUUGUCAGAUGUCUAGGCUAGUUCUCUUACCUGGCUAUUGAGAUUAGCCAGGAUGUCAUGGAUGUGCAGAUGUCAUGGAUGUCAAGGACUUCUGCCGCACAUCAUCCUUUCAGUAGACUAGGAGUGGCAGAGCUGGGUCAUGUGCUGUGAUAUUAUUCUUCAUCUUUUUAGGAAACCCUUACUGAUUUCCAUAGUGGUGGCACCACUCGUAUUCCCACCAGCAGUGUGUAAACAUUUCUCUUUCCCUCACCCUCUCCCGCACUUCCUGCCAUGUGCUUUCUCUAUGGUGACCAUUCUGGCUGCGUUGAGGUCGACUCUCAGAGCAGGUUGAACCUGCAUUUCCUUCAUGGCUGAGGACAUUCACCAUGUUUUCAAAUAUUUCCUGGCCAUUUACUUUUCU
rnacentral:lncRNA from 1 species